rnacentral:ribozyme from 1 species
UGCCCAGCAUCUCCUAUUCCUACCUCCUCGCGGUACUGGCCCGGGUACGAGCAACAUUAAGAAAGAUCAGAUAACUAACCCCUGUGGGAACUUUGGUCGUAUGCUGACAGGGUAGG